GGGCGGGGGAGGAGGAGAUGGCCAGUGAGGGGAGGAGACGGAUAGUGAGGGAGUAAAAGAUAGAAUAGACAAUGAGCUGGUGGAGGAAUGAUGGAAAGGGUGAAUGGUGAAGAGAGCAAGAAAAGAUGAACAACAAAUGAAGGAUGGGGCAGGAAGGAGAGACAUUGAAUUGGUGGAGGGAUGAUGUGUGAAGAAAGUAAGGGACAGUGAAGAAGAAAGAGAUAGCAGAGACAAGACUGAUGGAGGGAUGGUGGAAAGGAUGAAAGGUGAAGGAAGCUGACAAAAAUGUAAUAUAAUUAUUAUGUAAAUAGAGGAGGAGUUCAUGGCAACAGUCAGCUCUUCAGAAGGCAGCUCUCGAAAAAAAACUUUGAACAUAUGCAGACUAAAGUAGUUUUUGAAAUAGCUUGCUAUGUUUCUUUGGUAUACUAGCUUAGAACAUACUUAGUGUUAAAUGCUUGGCUAUGUUACUUGGUGGUAUGCUUUGUUUGAUACUUUUAAAGAAUAAUUUGUUAAAAAUUUGUCCGAUAUGUUUGGAAUUUCUUUGACAGUUUUGUCAUAAUAAAUGUCUGGAUUUAUUUUAAUAAAUAAGAUACCAUGAA